CAGUCGCCGCGGUAAUACAGAGGGUGCGAGCGUUAAUCGGAUUUACUGGGCGUAAAGCGUGCGUAGGCGGCUUCUUAAGUCGGAUGUGAAAUCCCUGAGCUUAACUUAGGAAUUGCAUUCGAUACUGGGAAGCUAGAGUAUGGGAGAGGAUGGUAGAAUUCCAGGUGUAGCGGUGAAAUGCGUAGAGAUCUGGAGGAAUACCGAUGGCGAAGGCAGCCAUCUGGCCUAACACUGACGCUGAGGUACGAAAGCAUGGGGAGCAAACAGGAUUAGAUACCCCCGUAGUCCCUGUCUCUUAUAC
rnacentral:rRNA from 1 species